CAUCAUGAUGUGAGCAAAGUCAUGGGCACUGGUCUAGACUGGGAAGGAACAGCUGACACCAGAGGACAAAACGUAGUGACCAGCUGUGGAGAGCCCAGAAGCAAGAAUAAGACAGCAUUUUUAGAGAUACUUUGGCCCUUAGAGAUAGAUUGCAGUUGGAUUUUGCUAACCUCCAUGGAUAGGAUCAUAAUGCUGAAUUCCUUUGGUUGGUGUAUACAUUGAAUCAUAUUGAUGAAUUUGAUAGUGACAAAGUGUUAAUUUCAAAGUUUGAGAAGCAAUCGAUCAGCCAACGGCAAAAAGCACUUUGAGCUUGAAGCAAUCAUCAACACCUCAGGAAAAUUUUGAGCAUCUCUGAAAUUGAAGUUUUACUAAGUGUGAAACCAAUCUCUCCCUUUAAAAA